rnacentral:rRNA from 1 species
AUACAGAGGGUGCAAGCGUUAUUCGGAAUUACUGGGCGUAAAGCGCGCGUAGGCGGAUGAUUAAGUCAGUUGUGAAAGCCCUGGGCUCAACCUAGGAACUGCAUCUGAUACUGGUCGUCUAGAGUUUAAGAGAGGGAAGUGGAAUUCCAGGUGUAGCAGUGAAAUGCGUAGAUAUCAGGAGGAACAUCAGUGGCGAAGGCGACUGCCUGGCUUAAAACUGACGCUGAGGUGCGAAAGCGUGGGUAGCGAACGGGAUUAGAUACCCCGGUAGUCC